CCUACGGGAGGCAGCAGUGAGGAAUAUUGGUCAAUGGGCGAGAGCCUGAACCAGCCAAGUCGCGUGAGGGAGUACUGCCCUAUGGGUUGUAAACCUCUUUUGUCGGGGAGCAAAAGCCGGACGUGUCCUGCUGUGAGAGUACCCGCAGAAAAAGCAUCGGCUAACUCCGUGCAAGCAGCCGCGGUAAUACGGGGGAUGCGAGCGUUAUCCGGAUUGAUGGGGUUUAAAGGGUGCGCAGGCGGAUUUUUAAGUCAGCGGUCAAAGCGUGGGGCUAAACCCCAUCCAGCCGUUGAAACUGGGGAUCUAGAGUGUGCGAGAGGUAUGCGGAAUGCGUGGUGUAGCGGUGAAAUGCAUAGAUAUCACGCAGAACCCCGAUGGCGAAGGCAGCAUACCGGUGCACAACUGACGCUCAGGCACGAAAGCGUGGGUAUCGAACAGGAUUAGAUACCCGGGUAGUC
rnacentral:rRNA from 1 species